AGAUGGACACAUCUGUCACUUUUAAGUCCCUGUUGCUCAUCUGUCACGGUCCACAACCAAGAAGAGACAAGGGAAGGGGCCAGAUGAAUGUUCUGCCACCAAGAGGAAGACUUUGACAUUUAAAAAAUUCUCCAUCUCUCUCCAAGUGUCCCAUCCCCAACUCAGAAAUAAUAAUAAUGAAAAACCCAUGAAGGGGACAUUAGUAUGUUGCAGAUGAAGACACUGAGGCUUGGAGAACUUAAAUUGCCCAAAGAGCUUCUCACACCUGACCCUCAAGACCCUUGAAAGCCUGGUCUCCAUCUGCUUCUGCAAUCUCAUCUCCCAGUGGUGCCCUCCUAGAAUCCUCCAUGGCAGGUUGAAGGUCACAUAACCUUAGCAUGCCCAGAUAAACCAAGUAUGCAACCACACGGGGAACCUAAGUGCUCAGACCAAGGAGCAGGAACUGAAUUAAGACACGGACACCACAUGGCAGAAUCCAAGAUCCAAUCAGAUCGAGCUCUGGAAUCACCCCCAUGGUGGAAGCCAGUCAGAUCAUUCCUCUUGGCAUCACCUCAUUGCAAGAUCCAAUCAGAUCACGUCUCAUUACCCUAUCCUUAUAAAACCAGACAGACCUCAGCUCAGGAAGGCACUGCUUUGGGAGCUAUCACCCCUGUUUUCCUUAUUUACUGCAAGUAAUAAAAUCCCCUUGCUAAAUCUU